UACCAGCUCUCCGAGUUGUAGGGAUGAUUAUUGGGCUUAAAGCGUCCGUAGCUGGCUUAGCAAGUCUCCUGUUAAAUUCAGCGACCUAAUCGUUGAGCCGCGGGAGAUACUACUAGGCUAGGAGGCGGGAGAGGUCGACGGUACUUUCGGGGUAGGGGUGAAAUCCUAUAAUCCCGGGAGGACCACCAGUGGCGAAGGCUGUCGACUAGAACGCGCUCGACGGUGAGGGACGAAAGCUGGGGGAGCGAACCGGAUUAGAUACCCGGGUAGUCCCAGCUGUAAACUAUGCGGGCUAGGUGUUGGGGUGGCUACGGGCCACCUCAGUGCCGCAGGAAAGCCAUUAAGCCCGCCGCCUGGGGAGUACGGCCGCAAGGCUGAAACUUAAAGGAAUUGGCGGGGGAGCACCACAAGGCGUGAAGCUUGCGGUUC
rnacentral:rRNA from 1 species